rnacentral:rRNA from 1 species
GAUGAACGCUGGCGGCGUGCCUAAUACGUGCAAGUCGGGCGAACGGACGAGAAGCUUGCUUCUCUGAUGUUAGCGGCGGACGGGUGAGUAACACGUGGAUAACCUACCUAUAAGACUGGGAUAACUUCGGGAAACCGUAGCUAAUACCGGAUAAUAUUUUGAACCGCAUGGUUCAAAAGUGAAAGACGGUCUUGCUGUCACUUAUAGAUGGAUCCGCGCUGCAUUAGCUAGUUGGUAAGGUAACGGCUUACCAAGGCAACGAUGCAUAGCCGACCUGAGAGGGUGAUCGGCCACACUGGAACUGAGACACGGUCCAGACUCCUACGGGAGGCAGCAGUAGGGAAUCUUCCGCAAUGGGCGAAAGCCUGACGGAGCAACGCCGCGUGAGUGAUGAAGGUCUUCGGAUCGUAAAACUCUGUUAUUAGGGAAGAACAUAUGUGUAAGUAACUGUGCACAUCUUGACGGUACCUAAUCAGAAAGCCACGGCUAACUACGUG